rnacentral:lncRNA from 1 species
UAGUCCAUGCAGUAGGUGGAGGCCACUAACUGAGAGGGAUAUAUAAUAAGAUGGAGGGGCAAUCUUGGGUUGACUUGGAGAUGUCUAAAAAUUACAUAAUCACCACAAAUUAUGUAUGAAAUUAGAAUUGAAUGCACAAUUUUUAGUAUCGCGAAAAGCAAUUUUGGUAAAAGCAAGUGCACGAUGAUGUGUGGAGUUAAUACCAUGAAAAAUAUGAUUAUUUCGACAUGUCUAAAUCGCCCAAAGAAAAAUAACAACCCUGAGCUUCCACAAAAAAGAAAUAUGAGGACUAAUGAUUUAUUCAUUGUUUGAAUAAGAAACUCGUGAAUGCUCACACAAUUAAUAAGCUCAGAAGUCAAACCCAUUGAGAAAACUUUCCAGGCCUUCCGAAUAACCUCACAAGAACACAGAUUAUGAUCCAAGGAUUUAGCAUCAUCUAAACAAACAACACAACCAUUCAGACCAACAAUCCCAAACCUCUUAAGCUUACCAAAAUUGGGAAGACAAGAGUGCAUAACCCUUUGACACAAAAGGAAGCGACGCACCAGGAUAGAAUAAUCUCAUAGUCAAGAGCCCCAUUUGACUUGAAGUGCAUGAUGACAUAUGUUGGUCUCAAGCGAGUGCGUAUUGAUGUAUAGGAGAAGGGGGAAAGGGAGAG